rnacentral:rRNA from 1 species
UACAGAGGUCUCAAGCGUUGUUCGGAUUCAUUGGGCGUAAAGGGUGCGUAGGUGGCGCGGUAAGUCGGGUGUGAAAUCUCGGAGCUUAACUCCGAAAUUGCAUUCGAUACUGCCGUGCUCGAGGACUGGAGAGGAGACUGGAAUUCAUGGUGUAGCAGUGAAAUGCGUAGAGAUCAUGAGGAAGACCAGUGGCGAAGGCGGGUCUCUGGACAGUUCCUGACGCUGAGGCACGAAAGCUAGGGGAGCAAACAGG